GAUGAACGCUGGCGGCGUGCCUAAUACAUGCAAGUCGAGCGAACAGACGAGGAGCUUGCUCCUCUGACGUUAGCGGCGGACGGGUGAGUAACACGUGGAUAACCUACCUAUAAGACUGGGAUAACUUCGGGAAACCGGAGCUAAUACCGGAUAAUAUCUUGAACCGCAUGGUUCAAUAGUGAAAGACGGUUUUGCUGUCACUUAUAGAUGGAUCCGCGCCGCAUUAGCUAGUUGGUAAGGUAACGGCUUACCAAGGCGACGAUGCGUAGCCGACCUGAGAGGGUGAUCGGCCACACUGGAACUGAGACACGGUCCAGACUCCUACGGGAGGCAGCAGUAGGGAAUCUUCCGCAAUGGGCGAAAGCCUGACGGAGCAACGCCGCGUGAGUGAUGAAGGUCUUCGGAUCGUAAAACUCUGUUAUUAGGGAAGAACAAAUGUGUAAGUAACUAUGCACGUCUUGACGGUACCUAAUCAGAAAGCCACGGCUAACUACGUG
rnacentral:rRNA from 1 species